rnacentral:rRNA from 1 species
AGUGAACGCUGGCGGUAGGCCUAACACAUGCAAGUCGAACGGCAGCACAGUAAGAGCUUGCUCUUACGGGUGGCGAGUGGCGGACGGGUGAGGAAUACAUCGGAAUCUUCUUUUUCGUGGGGGAUAACGUAGGGAAACUUACGCUAAUACCGCAUACGACCUACGGGUGAAAGCAGGGGAUCUUCGGACCUUGCGCGAUUGAAUGAGCCGAUGUCGGAUUAGCUAGUUGGCGGGGUAAAGGCCCACCAAGGCGACGAUCCGUAGCUGGUCUGAGAGGAUGAUCAGCCACACUGGAACUGAGACACGGUCCAGACUCCUACGGGAGGCAGCAGUGGGGAAUAUUGGACAAUGGGCGCAAGCCUGAUCCAGCCAUACCGCGUGGGUGAAGAAGGCCUUCGGGUUGUAAAGCCCUUUUGUUGGGAAAGAAAAGCAGCAGGUUAAUACCCCGCUGUUCUGACGGUACCCAAGGAAUAAGCACCGGCUAACUUCGUG